rnacentral:rRNA from 1 species
AUUGAACGCUGGCGGCAUGCCUUACACAUGCAAGUCGAACGGCAGCACGGGAGCAAUCCUGGUGGCGAGUGGCGAACGGGUGAGUAAUGUAUCGGAACGUGCCCAGUCGUGGGGGAUAACGCAGCGAAAGCUGUGCUAAUACCGCAUACGAUCUAUGGAUGAAAGCGGGGGAUCGCAAGACCUCGCGCGAUUGGAGCGGCCGAUAUCAGAUUAGGUAGUUGGUGGGGUAAAGGCCCACCAAGCCGACGAUCUGUAGCUGGUCUGAGAGGACGACCAGCCACACUUGGACUGAGAGACGGCCCAGACUCCUACGGGAGGCAGCAGUGGGGAAUUUUGGACAAUGGGCGCAAGCCUGAUCCAGCAAUGCCGCGUGCAGGAUGAAGGCCUUCGGGUUGUAAACUGCUUUUGUACGGAGCGAAACGGCUUCCACUAAUACUGGGGGCUAAUGACGGUACCGUAAGAAUAAGCACCGGCUAACUACGUGCCAGCAGCCGCGGUAA